UACGAAGGGGGCUAGCGUUGCUCGGAAUCACUGGGCGUAAAGCGCACGUAGGCGGCUUCUUAAGUCAGGGGUGAAAUCCUGGAGCUCAACUCCAGAACUGCCUUUGAUACUGAGGAGCUUGAGUCCGGGAGAGGUGAGUGGAACUGCGAGUGUAGAGGUGAAAUUCGUAGAUAUUCGCAAGAACACCAGUGGCGAAGGCGGCUCACUGGCCCGGUACUGACGCUGAGGUGCGAAAGCGUGGGGAGCAAACAGA
rnacentral:rRNA from 1 species